UACGUAGGGUGCAAGCGUUAUCCGGAAUUAUUGGGCGUAAAGAGCUCGUAGGCGGUUUGUCGCGUCUGCUGUGAAAACUGGAGGCUCAACCUCCAGCCUGCAGUGGGUACGGGCAGACUAGAGUGCGGUAGGGGAGAUUGGAAUUCCUGGUGUAGCGGUGGAAUGCGCAGAUAUCAGGAGGAACACCGAUGGCGAAGGCAGAUCUCUGGGCCGUAACUGACGCUGAGGAGCGAAAGCAUGGGAGCGAACGGG
rnacentral:rRNA from 1 species